UAUAUUUUUACAUGACAGUAUGCGAAAACAACAUAACAUAUUUAAAAUAAUCACAACCUUCCGCGUCUGCUUUAUUAAUCUCCAUUUUAAAAUAAAACAUUUAAAAAAAUUACCAGGAAAUAAUCGUGAAAGGCUGCUCUUUCUUUAUAGCUUUAAUUGGGAUCUAAAAGAUAAAAUUACCCGAAAGUGUUGUCAUUGUUAAAUAAAUUACGGAUGUGCGUCUUUACGUCAAGGUCGUGAUUCUACAUAACAACAUCCGCUUGACCUCGCAAUGCCAAGAAGAAGAAAGGUGUGGAACACAUGCUUAAGCGUCCAGCCUGUCAAGAUCUUCAGAUGAUGUUUGAGAAAAAAGUCAUCAUCCUCUUCGUCACUCUUCAUCCGUAUUUGGGGUAACAAACACCUGCUUCCCACAAGAGACUGGACCGCUGAAGUCAGGUGACCUGCACCUUCCUUGAACAUGUUGGUAACUUACUCUGUAUUUGUUCACGGUGGUCACCCCAGGGUCUCAGGACUCAAAACAGGUGCUCUAUGGAUUGAACAGAAAAUGUAGUAUAAACAAGUGUGGAUCAACACUCCAACCAUCUGCAUUAGGGACUGAAUAAAGGAUGCCCUCUGUAGCUGGGAAUGUUAGAUCAGGCGGAUCAACAUUCCAUCCAUCUGCAUUAGGAUCUACCUUAGAGACACUCACUGGAGCUGUAAAGGGAAGCAGGUCACUUACUUUUCAUUCGUCCUUGGUGGUCACCCCAGGGUCUCUAGAGUGAAAAUUACUCAAUCUAUGGAUUAAACAGAAAAUGUAGUUUUAUGAAGUGCAAUUUGGGACAUUCUUCCAGUUGUCGGCAACUUUGUGAAAAAGGCUGGAAACUAAAAUGCAGAAUUCUGGCCUCGUGUUUGGUCCGUGCUGUCUUUGGCUCUUGCAUCUCCAUCAUCCUGACCCUCUUUAGCAGCCUGUCCAUGUAUUUAUUUGGAGGCCACCAUGAGCACCCAUCUGCAUAAUAUGACUUUGUUACUCAGUUGUCCAUGCUCCUACAAAUUCUACAUUUUUUGUAAAGCUGCAACAAGUUGAAACCCUACAAUUAUUAACAUUUGAUUUUGAAUUAUGUAAUUCAAAUACAUGAAUAAGUAACAAAAGCAGAAAUAUAUUAAGACAUUACCUUUUUGUUGAUUGUUUACUGAUCUAUAAAUCCUUUUGCAUUCUCAUAAUUGAUCAUCAUAACUUGGUAUACAGUGGAUGUGUGGCUGUAGAUAACUUUCUGAAGUCAAUUUAAAAAGGCAAAAGUUAAUAAAUGCUAAAUUGGUCAAAUAUACAUUGUUGUAUUUUCACCAUUUUGAUCUUAUUUAGGCAUUUCAUAACUUGGGGGAAAUUUACGUAUACUGAUGUUUCAAAUCAAAUAUUAAUUUAUUAAUGACAGCUAAUCAUUUUAUAAAGAUUUUUUAUAACAAUAUUUAUUUAUAUAAUAUCAAUUUAAUACAUUUAUUUCGUUACACCUACAUCACUGAGCGCAAGGGAGUGCAGCCAACAAAUACAUUCAGGUGUGUUUGACUUAACACCGAGAUGCGCAGACAGCACGUGGUAUGACAUCAAGUACCGCGAGAGUUUGGGAAAGCCCCGGAAAAGGUUUGAACUCGCGGUACUUGAUGUCACGAUCGGUUUGCGCGUAGAUCAGCAUGAAGUCAAACACAUCUGAGAGAUAUGUGGGCUGCCUGGCUGCACUCAACGUUGCGAUCAUUCAAUAGAGUGGAACCUCGUGUAGAACGAUCACAGAACGAUUUUUUGUUCUUUUCCAACUCGAUUUUUAACUCCCUAAACUAGUAGGAUGUUCCAACGGGUGAAGCAACAGUGCUGACGGCAGUUUCAGUGUCAAGUUUUCAUGCCAUGACCACUGGGGCGGAAACCAUUAUGACAUUGCCUUGGACAUCAAACUAAACCAUCUCAUUCUGGCUUUUGAGGUGGACUCUAACCUCGAAAUCUCAGAAGGACAGGUCUAAGACAGGUCUCCAUAGGAUGCAACCUUGCAUUUGAGAAACACCCAUAGAACGGAGAAAGUCAUGGGUUCUGCUGCUAAGGUUGUCAUAAACGUCUUUUAUUCUGCUUACCUGACUCAUGCAGAAUUCUGGCUUGAUGUUUGGUCCACCUGUUAGCUGGCUCUGGUGCUUGGUAGUCUUCUCAAACCUCUGAAUCAAGACCACCAUGAGAGGCCUUCUGAAGACCAUCAUUACGCUUCAGAUCCAGUUGUCUUUACUAUGAGCCUACCACAAUCCCUGUGCACCAGCUAUGGAAAGUGCAGACCAAACUUCUACCUCCACCUAUAGAACUGAACUGGAGUCUGGUAACUAAUGCUGUGUUCGAGACAACUUGGAUGUUGGAUAUUAUUGACCUCAAACCCGUAAGAAGUCUGGAACAGCAAACAAAGUUGAGUAUCCGACCUCUCAACUUGGGACAGAUCCAUCAACACCGACCUCAACGAGAUGCGUCAUUUGACAUUGCAGACAAGGUGGUGGCUAGCCUUUCACAGCCUUACAUGAACCGCAAACAAACUUUAAACUAUUUUUACUGCACAUAUUUAUGAACAUGAAUGUUAAAUUAUCCAGUAACCGUUUUCUGCCAUAAUUGGCACAAGAGCACAAACUUCUCCUGGCGUCUCAUUAUGUGGUAAACACGCAAAUGUGAUACGUGAUUGACUGGAAUGCAUUGAGGUUGGAGGUAGGAUAUUUAAUGACAUAACAUCAGAAAUCCGAGUUGUCUGUAACAAUGCACAAUAUUUCACAGAAUUGUCACCACCUGAUUAUCCUCCCAUGUUUUUAACACAACCAUUGAUUGCUUGCUGCCUUCAUCCGUGUGACCAGAGACAUUUGUCCUUUGUAUCUCUCAAAAAAAAGAAAUCUAUAUUUAAUGUUAAAAAACACUUACUGUGUUAGAUAACUGUGCUCUUGGAAGUCAGCUUAAGUGAACAAAUGGUAAUGUUAAUGAAAAGUUCAUUUUUGUCACAGUUGCAAACUAACAACCACACAGAAUAUGAAGAAUAGCCAGAACUGUGGUAAUAAGCUAGCCCUAAAAUGUUCUGAGAAUCUUGAUGUAUUGGACACAGGUGUGUAGUAUCUGUUAUUUAUACCACGGGUGUGUUGAAUGCUGUAUUCUGAUUGGCUGAGAAAUGUUCCGUGGGUAUGCAUUCAUUUCUGAUAACCACACACCUAACUUGUCAAAUGUCUUAAAAGUAGGCACCAGAGCAAUGUUUGUGGUAACUGUGGUAUUAGAGGAAUAAUUGACUCCGGUCCUUUGAAUUAUUUGAAAAUAAAGCACACCUGCAGUGUAACGGCACUCCGCUUCGGGUCGUGCCGCAUUGCACUUUGGGUGUGCAUUAUUUUCUUUUAAUUAAAUGGCCCGUCGUCAAUUAUUCCUUACAUAUUGACGGUUGACAGGUUUGUUUGCAUGUAAUUGCGUUAUUAUUAAUUUGGGGUUGAUAGUCCAAUGUCGAUUUUUUUUCUUUUUAGAUCCUUUCUCUUUUUAAUGCAGAACUUAAGGAUGAACCACCCUGAUCUACUAAGAUGCACAGAUUCAACUCUGGCCCAGCAUCAUCCCCACACCUCAUCUGCCAUCAGUUUAAUUUAAUGUCUGUCAAUUGCAAAUGCUAUUUAUUUCAGUUAUAUUACAACUUAAUGUUAACUUUAA